rnacentral:rRNA from 1 species
CUACAAAGGAAUUGACGGGGCCCGCACAAGCGGUGGAGCAUGUGGUUAAUUCGACGCAACGCGAAGAACCUUACCAGGGCUUGACAUCCCCUGACCGCGUAUGAAAGUACGUUUUCACCCUCGGGUGACAGGGAGACAGGUGGUGCAUGGUUGUCGUCAGCUCGUGUCGUGAGAUGUUGGGUUAAGUCCCGCAACGAGCGCAACCCCUACGUUUAGUUGCUAACGCGUGAAGGCGAGCACUCUAGACGAACUGCCGUUGACAAAACGGAGGAAGGUGGGGAUGACGUCAAAUCAUCAUGCCCCUUAUGUUCUGGGCUACACACGUGCUACAAUGGCCGGUACAGACGGACGCAAAGCCGCGAGGUGGAGCAAAUCCUAAAAAGCCGGUCUCAGUUCGGAUUGCAGGCUGCAAUUCGCCUGCAUGAAGUCGGAAUCGCUAGUAAUCGCAGGUCAGCAUACUGCGGUGAAUACGUUCCCGGGCCUU